CUGACCAUAAUUUCACAAUCUCCUGAUCUGAGUUUCACAGUCCAUCACUUGUAUGUAGUACUUUCAAAAUUUAAUUAGAUUAUGCUGAUUUUUCAAUUUAAUUAACAUGUUCAAUGAUGUUUCAAGACAAGAAAACAUUUUUAACCAGCCUGUAAAUUUUGUGUUUACAGGAAAAUAAUGUUUUUUUGUCAUAGAUUGAUUUAAGCAUAGAAAUUCCAAAUUGGGAUGAAAAUUCCCAAUCUUCUGAUGGUCAACGGACCCAUUUGAAAAAACUUGGAAUCAUUCCUGGUUUUUAUCCAGGAAUAGUCCAUUUGCCAAUUACCAAUUUGAUUCUGUUAUUACACACUUUUUAAACAAAUUACUUCCCUUUGUCAAUCAUAGACUGGUUCCAUACCGGACAAAAUUUGUCUUUGCCAAUGCAAAGCAUGGUAAGUUAUAAGUUUAACUCAUUUUUCAUGAAAAAUAACCUGUAGUAUUUAGCUAAACAACAAAUUAAUGUAAUUAACAGAUUUGAAAAACUGAAAGGUUACUCACAUUACGCACAGGUAUAUUUGUUCUUUCCCCUAGCUCUCUAUUGUCGAUAAGAUUUAUGUCCCUCAUAAGGGAGACAACAAAAAAAGGGAUCUCUGAUUACAGGGUCAAUUAUGGGAAUUGGCAAAUAGGCUAUUACAUGUAUCUAUUAAAAUGAAAAUUCCACCCCUUCUGCAAAAUAUGAUUCCAAACUGGUGGUGUGUGUGUGUUGAGGAGGCUUGCACUGCUUACAAUGAUUUUACAUACAGUAUUCCAGCUAGAAAAUGAGUACUGAGCUAGGGGCACAGUCUUUGUACAUGUAAAGCUUCAUGUUGAUCAGAGUUAUAUAUACUUUCUUAGAGAAAAAAGGCUUAUUAUUUUAAGAAUGCAUAUUUGAUUUUUAUGUAUAUUUCAGAUACACAAUACAAUAUUGUAUGUGACGCAUCAUAAAUAAGAACCCAAACAAUGGCUGACAUGCAGGCUGUCCAAAAAGCCUACUUAUUGGCUCUCACGGAGGGAAACCAAGAUCCAGCUAUGUAUAUACAGACACUUAUACAUGCAGACUGUCAGCUGACACUUAAAUACAUGUCAAUCAAUAUGGAAAAUUUAAUUGAGCUUAAUAGUCAG
rnacentral:lncRNA from 1 species